CCUACGGGAGGCAGCAGUGGGGAAUAUUGCACAAUGGGGGAAACCCUGAUGCAGCAACGCCGCGUGGGUGAAGGAGCGUUUCGGCGCGUAAAGCCCUGUCAGCGGGGAAGAAGAAAGACGGUACCCGACCAAGAAGCCCCGGCUAACUACGUGCCAGCAGCCGCGGUAAUACGUAGGGGGCAAGCGUUAUCCGGAUUUACUGGGUGUAAAGGGAGCGUAGGUGGCAUGGUAAGCCAGAAGUGAAAACCCGGGGCUCAACCCCGCGGAUUGCUUUUGGAACUAUCAGGCUGGAGUGCUGGAGGGGG
rnacentral:rRNA from 1 species